AUUGAACGCUGGCGGCAUGCCUUACACAUGCAAGUCGAACGGCAGCACGGGGGCAACCCUGGUGGCGAGUGGCGAACGGGUGAGUAAUACAUCGGAACGUGCCCAGUAGUGGGGGAUAGCUCGGCGAAAGCCGGAUUUAUACCGCAUACGACCAACGGGUGAAGGCGGGGGAUCGCAAGACCUCGCGCUAUUGGAGCGGC
rnacentral:rRNA from 1 species